CAGUCGCCGCGGUAAUACAGAGGGUGCGAGCGUUAAUCGGAUUUACUGGGCGUAAAGCGUGCGUAGGCGGCUUCUUAAGUCGGAUGUGAAAUCCCUGAGCUUAACUUAGGAAUUGCAUUCGAUACUGGGAAGCUAGAGUAUGGGAGAGGAUGUUAGAAUUCCAGGUGUAGCGGUGAAAUGCGUAGAGAUCUGGAGGAAUACCGAUGGCGAAGGCAGCCAUCUGGCCUAAUACUGACGCUGAGGUACGAAAGCAUGGGGAGCAAACAGGAUUAGAUACCCCAGUAGUCCCUGUCUCUUAUAC
rnacentral:rRNA from 1 species